rnacentral:lncRNA from 1 species
ACGACUCUCGGCGGCGGCAAUGGAAGUGACGGCGGCGGUUCAAGGCCUUCGACAGUUCCGGUUCGUCUCCAGCGGGUCUGGUUCAGGUUUGCGAAUCGUGUUUUGGGCCAGCAGGUUCAAGUCGGUUGCAUUCCGCUCUCGGCUGCACAUCUCGGGUCAACAGUGAGUUCGAGUCUUGGUUCUGUGCGGGUCAGAUUUCGUUGAUUUAGAGGACGGCUCGGGUCACGGUCUGGUUGGGAUUCAGUCAACUGUCGAGUCAAACGGUCAAGCCCGGUCGACUAACGGGUCAAUGGCUCAUUCUAGAUUCGGGUGACCUCGGUGUUCCAUCAUCCUUACCUCACACUCGUCGACACUUGGAUAAUCGGAAGACUUAGCAAUUAUGUUGUUAGACAAGACGAUGAAGAAAUCAAGUUAGGAUGGACUUAGAUACUCAUUCAAUAAUAAACAAUGUUGUUGCAAUUUGUCUUAUUUGAAACCAUGUAUUCAAAUUUUAGUCAUUUAUGAAAUUGGAUUUAAGUUAUAUUGUC